rnacentral:rRNA from 1 species
UACGAAGGGGGCUAGCGUUGUUCGGAAUACUGGGCGUAAAGCGCGCGCAGGCGGUUCUUUAAGUCAGGGGUGAAAGCCCAGAGCUCAACUCUGGAAUUGCCUUUGAAACUAGAGAACUUGAGUACGGGAGAGGUGAGUGGAAUUCCGAGUGUAGAGGUGAAAUUCGUAGAUAUUCGGAAGAACACCAGUGGCGAAGGCGGCUCACUGGCCCGUUACUGACGCUCAGGCGCGACAGCGUGGGGAG